UAGAAUCCUUUACAAUGCGCGAAAGCGUGAUAAGGGAAUCCCAAGUGCUCACUUUUUAAGUGGGCUUUUGCCAAGCAUAAAUACCUUGGCGAAUAAGGGGUGGGCAAGACCGGUGCCAGCCGCCGCGGUAACACCGGCGCCCCAAGUGGUGGUCACAUUUAUUGGGUCUAAAGCGUCUGUAGCCUAUUCAACAAGUCUUUCGUGAAAUCGCUCGGCUUAACCGAGCGGCGCGCGAAAGAAACUGUUGGGUUAGGGACUGGGAGGGGUCAAGGGAACUCCUUGGGAAGCGGUAAAAUGUUUUAAUCCUUGGAGGACCACCUAUGGCGAAGGCACUUGACCAGAACAGAUCCGACGGUGAGAGACGAAAGCGGGGGGAGCGAUCAGGAUUAGAUACCCUAGUAGUCCCCGCUGUAAACGCUGCGAGCUAUGUGUUGCAUGUUCUUCGAGAACAUGCAGUGCCGGAGCGAAGGCGUUAAGCUCGCCACCUGGGAAGUACGGCCGCAAGACUGAAACU
rnacentral:rRNA from 1 species